CCUAAAUCCUGAAGGGUUGAAGAAGACAUCCGGGAAACACACCACAGAAUCCACUACAGUGGCCUCGAGGGGUGACUUCUGGAAAAGCAAACCUCCGUGUUCUCUUCUUCGGAGGAAGAUGGAUCAGUGAGGACGUGGUGGGCCGGUGAGCCAUCAUCUCUUCCAGCCAUGGAUUCCUGCGCCACUGGAAACCCUACCACAGAGCAGCUACGGCAGGAAUUAAGAGGACAUCAAAACCUCAAACAAGCUACACUCCUGCCAUCAAUUGAAUGAAAACUUCCUUGAGGAAAUACUUCAACUGCCUAGGUGGACUGGAAGAAAUUAAACUCAGUGACGGGCGGCCUUCUGACCCCGUGGUGUAGCCC
rnacentral:lncRNA from 1 species